rnacentral:lncRNA from 10 species
GGAAAAUUACAGUCAAAAGGGGUUUGUUCUCUGGUGGGCAGGAGUAGGGGGUCACAAGGUGCUCAGUGGGGGAGCUUUUUGAGUAGAGGGAGGUAUUGAGGAUAGGAGAGUAUAUGGGUUUGGCCCCACAGGGUGGAUAGGCAAAACAAUUUGGUUGGUAAGGGGCAGAUCCUGAACUAACUUGUAAGGCUCAUCUGGUUUUAGGACAGGUAAAAUGGGGGAAUUGUAAGGAGAGUUUAUAGGCUUUAAAAGGCCAUGCUGUAGCAGGCGAGUGAUAGCAGGCUUUAAUCUUUUUAAAGCAUGCUGCGGGAUGGUAUAUUGGCGUUGAGUGGGGUAAGGGUGAUUAGGUUUUAAUGAGAUGGUAAGGGGUGCAUGAUCGGUCGCCAAGGAGGGAGUAGAGGUAUCCUAUGCUUGUGGGUUAAGGUGGGGGGGGAUACGAGAGGGAGGAUGUGAAGGAGGCUUUGAACUGCGGGAAAAGGUGGCAAUGAGGUGUGGCUGUAGCCCAGGAAUUGUCAGGGAAGCAGAUAAUUUAGUUAAAGUGUCUCGGCCUAAUAAGGGAACUGGGCAGGUGGGGAUAAUUAAAAAGGAGUGCUUAAGAGAGUAUUGUCUAAAUUGGCACCA